UACGUAGGGGGCAAGCGUUGUCCGGAAUCAUUGGGCGUAAAGCGCGUGUAGGCGGCCCGAUAAGUCCGCUGUGAAAGUCCAGGGCUCAACCCUGGGAUGCCGGUGGAUACUGUCGGGCUCGAGUCCGGAAGAGGUGGGUGGAAUUCCCGGUGUAGCGGUGAAAUGCGCAGAUAUCGGGAAGAACACCCGUGGCGAAGGCGGCUCUCUGGGACGGUACUGACGCUGAGACGCGAAAGCGUGGGGAGCGAACAGG
rnacentral:rRNA from 1 species